rnacentral:tRNA from 1 species
GUCGAUGUAGCUCAGGAGGUAGAGCAGCCACGGAAUGGUGUGUCGCUGGUUCAAGUCCAGUCAUCGGCA